UUAGAGUUUGAUCCUGGCUCAGGAUGAACGUUGGCGGCGUGCUUAACACAUGCAAGUCGAACGGAACUCUUACGAUAGAGACUUCGGUCAAUUGAAUUUGAGUUUAGUGGCGGACGGGUGAGUAACGCGUGAGGAACCUGCCUUGGAGUGGGGAAUAACACAGUGAAAAUUGUGCUAAUACCGCAUAAUGCAGUUGAGUCGCAUGGCUCUGACUGCCAAAGAUUUAUCGCUCUGAGAUGGCCUCGCGUCUGAUUAGCUAGAUGGCGGGGUAACGGCCCACCAUGGCGACGAUCAGUAGCCGGUCUGAGAGGAUGAACGGCCACAUUGGGACUGAGAUACGGCCCAGACUCCUACGGGAGGCAGCAGUGGGGAAUAUUGGGCAAUGGGGGAAACCCUGACCCAGCAACGCCGCGUGAAGGAAGAAGGCCCUCGGGUUGUAAACUUCUUUUACCAGGGACGAAGAACGUGACGGUACCUGGAGAAAAAGCAACGGCUAACUACGUGCCAGCAGCCGCGGUAAUACGUAGGUUGCAAGCGUUGUCCGGAUUUACUGGGUGUAAAGGGCGUGUAGGCGGAGAUGCAAGUUGGGAGUGAAAUCCCGGGGCUCAACCCCGGAACUGCUUUCAAAACUGCAUCCCUUGAGUAUCGGAGAGGCAAGCGGAAUUCCUAGUGUAGCGGUGAAAUGCGUAGAUAUUAGGAGGAACACCAGUGGCGAAGGCGGCUUGCUGGACGACAACUGACGCUGAGGCGCGAAAGCGUGGGGAGCAAACAGGAUUAGAUACCCUGGUAGUCCACGCUGUAAACGAUGAAUAAUAGGUGUGGGAGGACUGACCCCCUUCCGUGGCCCAAUUUAACACAAUAAGUAUUCCACCUGGGGAGUACGACCGCAAGGUUGAAACUCAAAGGAAUUGACGGGGGCCCGCACAAGCAGUGGAUUAUGUGGUUUAAUUCGACGCAACGCGAAGAACCUUACCAGGAUUUGACAUCCAACUAACGAAGUAGAGAUACAUUAGGUGCCCUUCGGGGAAAGUUGAGACAGGUGGUGCAUGGUUGUCGUCAGCUCGUGUCGUGAGAUGUUGGGUUAAGUCCCGCAACGAGCGCAACCCCUGCCGAUAGUUGCUACGCAAGAGCACUCUAUCGGGACCGCUACCGAUAAGGUGGAGGAAGGUGGGGACGACGUCAAAUCAUCAUGCCCCUUAUGACCUGGGCUACACACGUACUACAAUGGUCGUUAACAGAGGGAAGCAAAGCCGCGAGGCAGAGCAAAUCCCUAAAAACGGUCUCAGUUCAGAUUGUAGGCUGCAACUCGCCUAUAUGAAGUCGGAAUUGCUAGUAAUCGCGGAUCAGCAUGCCGCGGUGAAUACGUUCCCGGGCCUUGCACAAAGCGCCCGUCA
rnacentral:rRNA from 1 species